CGCUUCUGGCUACCCUGAUCCUCCUCUCCUCCGGACUUCGGGCUUCUCAGUGUGGGUCUGUGUCUCUGUCCCACCUGCCUGCCGCUCAGCUGCCUCCCUCCGAAGCGCCUCUCCCCAGUUUCUCAGGCUGACCGGCUGCCUCCACCACUUUUCACUCUCUCUUACUCCCUCCCUCCCUGCGGGUGAGGAGGCUUUUGGCCCUGGGCCCUGAGCGGGGCGGGUGCAGCCGGAGGACUUGAGAGGGGUGAGGUCACAUCUCCCCGGAGCCCCAAGCCGCUGGCUGAUCAGAGCCUCCCCAGGAGCCGGCGGCCAGAGCCCCAGACCGCGCUGACCCUGCCCUCGCCCGGCCUCCCCAUGUCUCAGUACGCCCCCAACUCGGACUUCAAACGGGCUUUGGACAGUAGUCCCGAGGCCAACACGGAGGAUGACAAGACCGAGGAGGACGCGCCCAUGCCCAAGAACUACUUGUGGCUCACCAUCGUCGCGUGUUUCUGCCCCGCGUACCCCAUCAAUAUCGUCGCUUUGGUCUUCUCCAUUAUGUCCCAGAACAGCUACAACGAAGGCGACUUGGAAGGAGCCAGGCGGCUUGGGCGGAAUGCCAAGUGGGUGGCCAUCGCCUCCAUCGUCAUCGGCCUUCUCAUCAUCGGCAUUUCUUGCGCAGUUCACUUCACGAGGAAGCAGAGUUAGACAGUGAGAGAGACAGACAGAGUGAAAAGUCUUCCUUCUGUUGGUUCACCCCCCAAGUGGCCACUACGGUCAGCAUGCUGCGCCGAUCCGAAGCCAGGAGCCAGGUGCUUCCUCCUGGUCUCCAUGCGGGUGCAGGGCCCAAGGACCUGGGCCAUCCUCCCCUGCCUUCCCGGGCCACAGCAGAGAGCUGGACUGGAAGAGGAGCAACCGGGACAGAACCGGCGCCCCAACCGGGACUAAAACCCGGAGUUCAGGCGCCGCAGGUGGAGGAUUAUCCAACCUCUGAGGAAGCCCAGGUCGGCGCUGAGCGCGGAAGACCGACUCACCCGCACCCAUCCCAGAGGAGUUCCCGAGGAUGGAAUCCUUGACUUCAGACUGUGAGAUCUUUUCCUCCAAGACUCUCCAGAGGCAGGUCCCUGGCAAUCAAGAGCAAAGUCCCAAAUUUAGGAAGCGUGAACAGCACACCUGGUUAGGCCAAAGCCAUCAGUUUGUGGGGGAAACAAAACAAGAAGCAGACAAAAGCAGAAGACGAGGAGCGUGAAGCCCGUCUCACUGAGCAAAGUUUGCUGUGUUCACUUCUCUUCUCCAAAGACGAGCCUCAGGAAAUCUCCCUACUUUGAACGGGUGGUGCGGAGUGGUGCCCAGACUCGGGGAGGGUGGGAGCUUUCUAGAAGAGCAGCGGAUGCUGGAGUUUACAAGGUCAAGUACAAAGCAUGUUUAAAGUUGCCUAAUGUCAUUGAACCUGUGCCUUUGGUUUCCUUUCAUCCUGCCCUGUUGUAGUAACUCCUCCAUCAUCCUACCUACCGAGAGCUCACCCAUUGAAUGGUCCAAGGCUCACAGGAAGAGGCGUCCUGGCUUUUUGCCGCCUAGUACCUGCCCUUCCCCCUCUUCCCCCCCAGCCAACCCCUUGCUUGCACUACCCUGGGUCAAGCUGAGCACAACUGUGCCCUUGUCUCCAACAGCCUCUGAGAAUGUACCUGGCUGUCACUUCGAGCCGUCACAUUCAGUCCCUGCUCUGUCCCAGCCUGGGGAAUAAACUGAACGUGUUUACAGAACGCACUCUAAGUCUCGGACGACAUCUUGGAUUGCUCUCCUGGAUGCCACCUGGAAAUGCUGCCCCUUUCUUUCCUGUAAAAUAUAAACCCGUGGGUGUGAGAGUGCUAGUUGAAGGGCAGCUGUAUUCUGCCUGCCAGGAAACACUGGCAUUGACCUGCCCCCGGUGGUGCACAUGAUCGCGUUUAAGGAGCGCAGGGUCAGGAAGAUAGGUCAUUUCCCCUCUUCUUUUUCAGUCCUGACCACAGCAAGGAGAAAGUCUCUGUUUAGCGCUCCUGGGUCCUGAACACCUUUCUCCACAAAGACAGAGCAAGCCUCAGGGUCAGCGUCCUGUGUCUACGUAGAAUAGAAUGAUAUUGCUUUUACACUGUUCAUUGUAUUUCUUACUUGCCUCUUACAGUAUUUCCACAAAUGGAUUUGACAUAUCAUUUUCAUUCAAAUACAUUUACUUAGAAAAGUAAAUGGACUCAAAGAAAAAUGCCAAUUAAAACAGCAGGUGUUGUGUACAGCAAAGAUCACUUCAAGAACUAAUGUUAGAAACACAGUGAUAAUGAACUUUCAUAAGCACCAAAAAAAAAAAAAAAGGCAGCUUAUUCUAAUCGAAUUAACCAGAGGCUGAGAGUCAAAACACCUGUUUCAAUGACUUUUUUUGCCACUAACUCGUUAGGCAAGCCGAUUUUAAGCAACUUUCUCAACCUCUCUGUGCCUCCGACUUCUUCACGUGGAAAUGAGAGCUCAGAACACCUGCCUACUUACCUCACAGUGUUGUUAGAGAAAUGCCUUGCUAUGAUAGAGGCAAACGCCCCGGGGGGAGAUUCUAAGGUCUGUACAAAUACAAAGCGUUGGUAUUAGAGUUGUGAAUCUCAGGCGCUUGUUAAAACACUAGACCCUUGCAAAAAAUAAAAGUUGAUGGGUAGCAUAUUCCACCUGUCAUUUCACCUCUGUGUCCAUCAUAAGCCAGCAAUCAUCCCAGGAGGACACUGGAUCAGGGACACAGAUUUUUUUUAAGAUUGUGUUUAUUUGAGAGUUUGAGUUACAGACAGAGAGGGAGAGACAGAGACAAAGGUCCUCCAUCUGCUGGUUCACUCCCCAAACAGCCAGAACAGCCAGCGCUGAGCCAAUCCGAAGCCAGGAGCCAGGAGCCUCCUCUGGGUCCCCCACACAGGUGCAGGGACCCAAGCGCUCAGGCCAUGUUCUGCUUUCCCAGGCCAUAGCAGAAAGCUGGAUCAGAAGAGGAGCAGCCGGGAUUGGAAGCAGUGCCUGUAUGGGUACCAGCGCCACAGGCGGAGGAUUAACCUACUGCGCCACAGUGCCGGCCCAGGGACAUGGAUUCUUACACUGUACACUGAGAUGCUAGUGGCAUCCCAGUGAAUGGGAUCCUGAUAUCUGUUUCUGACAUUUUUUCCACUUGUGUGUGUCUGGAUCCCUGGUCUUUUACCCGAAUCAAAUGAAAAGUGUUGCUGAAAGGUGGAAUAAAGGCAGCUUUAAGUGAGCCUAUUUACACUGGUGAACUGUGUUUUUCUGCCUUCUGGAGACUUCUAUGCCCAAAACAUUCUCACCUCUCCAAGCCUGAGUUCGACGGAGAGGCCGACGGUGUGGCUAGAAGGCAUCCACCUUGAGAUAAUUUAUGCCCUAAUUAGUGCUACCUUGGGGCGCUAACAACACCGCUGCCAGAGUCGGCAUUGUGGCAUGACAGGCGAAGCCUCUACCUGUGACACUGGCACUUUGUUUGGAGCAAUGGUUUGAGUCCCAGCUGUUGCACUUUCAAUCCAGCUCCCUGAUAAUGCACCUGGGAAAGCAGCAGAAGGUGGCCCAAGUGCUUGGGCCCCUGCACCCAUAGGAGAGACCUGGAUGGAGCUCCUGGCUCCUGACUUUGGCCUGGCCUAGCCCCAGCCAUUGCAACCAUUUGGGGAGUGAACCAGCAGAUGGAAAGUCUUUCUCUUUCUCUUUCUCUCUUUCUGUAUCUCUCUCUCUCUCUCUCUGUAUCUCUAUCUCUAUCUCUUUCUCUCCCCCUCUCUGUCACUCUGCCUUUCAAAUGAAUAAAAUAAAUCUUUUUUUAAAACGGGUCCCAUUAAAGUCAAAAUAAAAUAAGAAAAAGUCUGUCACUGCAUGAGAUUUCCGGGACCCAGGGGACUGUAAGUUUGGUUGGCCUCCAGGACUCUAACCUCGAAGAUCGACCAAGUUGGAUGGUUGGUCUUACUUUUCCUGCCAAGUUGAGACUGACCUGGUGUAUCAGCCAAGAGACUUAUCAGUCAAUGACAAAAGCCAGUUACAGCAAACAGCAGUGUUUACAGCCUACAUAACUGAGAAUCCCAGGGGUAGCUUCAGGUGUGGAUGGAGCUUGGUGCUCCGCAUCAUUGGGAACGCAUCUCAUGGUGACAGGUUGACUGACCACAGCUCCAGGCUUCUUCCUACCAGCCUAGCAAUAUUGCCAAAAUAAAUGGGUCUAUUCAAAAUCAAGCACAAGUGACCGGAAGCAGGAAGCAGCCCAUCGGGAUGGAUACCGGCCACUGACAAGUAGGUGCACAACAUAAAUCCAUACUGUGGCCAGGGGUGUGUGUCACCUCUUUGGGCCAGACCUGAAAUCAGGAUUCAACUGCUGGAGCUGAGGGUGAAGUCAGCCCCACCCAACCUUGAUGGACGGAGGGUGUGGGAAGGGUAGCUCCCCAAAGGCAAGUCCAAGUGCUUUUACCAGAAGGAGAGACAGACCCUGGGCAGAGCAAAGAACCAUUUGGCCACGUUAAGUGCAUUGCUUCUUCCUAUGCCUUCCACUCCCAGGGCCAAGGCGAUCUAAUAGCUUUUCAAACAAUUUCCUCCUUGUGUAGUCAUUCCCAUCCAUUUCCUCCUCUGACCAAUAUUAACGGAGCACCUGUUCAACCCCAGAAACUGAGCUAGGCUUUGGAAACUCCAAUAUGAUUAAGAAAGAGCCCUGGGAAGGUUGCUUAUAGCCUAAUGGGGGGAACAGGCACAUACACGAUUAGAAGGAAAUGUGCGAGUGUCCAGACACAGGCACAGACAAAAUGCGAUGCCGUCGCUUUGUGUAGAUGAAAGGUUCAGGCAGCCAACCUCCCUCCUGUCCCACUGCUCCGGCGUCGCAAAGGCCGAUACGACUGUAGCUCUUGCCGCUGCCCUGCCUUUGCCCACAAGUUAUGGGCAGAAGCAGAUGCAGACAUAAAAAAUCGCUGGCCUCAGCUCCUGGAUCAGCAAAUUAUCUUUGGCCUACAGCGGGACAGCUGCAUUCAGCAAAACAGCACCACGCAUGUAUCCUGAUACGUAACCCUAGAUCCAAGGUUCUAAAUAUAAGAGACAGUUUUGGGCCACUGAUUAAAAAAAAAACUAAGGUAGUUUUCACAUUCAUGGGUUCCCAGCAAGCCUUUAAAAACUACUUACGGAUGUUGAAUAUUUAUGCCUGAAUAUUUAGGCUUGAGUUCUCUAAAAAUAGGUCACUAGACCCAGACACUCUGAAUCCUGGUUUGGACAAACACAAAAAAAAAAGGCUUAGAGACCACUCGGGCACCACCCGUCCUUGCUGGAGAAGGCCCAGAAAGCAGAAAUGCACUUGCCAGAGAGGUGCACUCGUUUGCUUAUUCAUUCGCUCACUGCCAUAGAGAUUGACCCUCAGGAGGCAGCAGGAAGGCAGAGCUGCCUGUGUGCAUUGCUUGUAUGCAGCGUGCGAGUUUGCCACCUGUGUACCUGUUCCAACUCUUGGGUGAGCACCCGAUGGAACCUACAAUGGUCUCGUCACCACGCUCAUCUCCCUGCCUGUCUCAACGCAGGCUUUCCCAUCGCCCACUCACACACGGCUUCACUAAAACCUCAUUUCAUUUUCCCAAGCUGCCUGCUCCUGGCACUGCCACCAAGUUUUUCUCCCCACAAGUGACACAGAAUCCCAUUAAUAGGGACCAGUUGUGCUUGGGAAAUACUGUACCAACAGUUGGCCCUUGGUGUCUUUGGGGUGCAAGAAUUCAAUCAACUGUGGGCUGAAACUCCAGAGUGUAUUGAACACGCACAGAUUUUUUUUUUUUUGCUGUGUCAUUAUUGCUUAUCACCAUCGCUUUGUCUUGUACAACAAUACAGUAUAGCAACUGUUUACACAGCAUUACAUUACAUUAGGUAAUAUAAGUCUUCUAGAGACACAUAAAGCAUGUGGAAAGAUGUACGUGAGUUAUACGCAGAUACUACGCCAUUUUAUGUGAGGUUUAUAUUGCAUUAGGCUUAAGUCAUCUAGACAUGAUUUAAAGCAUGUGUGGGGAUUCUACGCAAAUACUACGCUGCAGGGGCCGGCGCUGAGGAGCAGCAGGUUAAACCUCCACUGCCUGCAGUGCUGGCAUCCCAUAUGGGCGCCAGUUCGAGUCCCAGCUGCUCCACUUUCAAUCCAGCUCCCUACUGUGGCCUGGAAAAGCAGCAGAAGAUGGUCCAAGAGCUUGGGCCCCUGCAGCCACGUGGGAGACCUGGAAGAAGCUCCUGAUUUCAGAUCUGCCCAUCUCUAGCCAUUAAGGCCAUUUGGGGAGUGAACCAGCAGAUAGGAAAUAUCUUUCUCUCAUCUCUCUCUCUCUCUCUCUCUGCCUUUAAAUAAUAAAUAUAUAACUCUUUAAAAAGAAUACUAUAGGGGCCGGCACUGUGGUGCAGUGGGUUAACACCCUGGCCUGAAGCGCUGGCAUCCCAUAUGGGCACCAGUUCGAGACCUGGCUGUUCCACUUGCGAUCCAGCUCUCUGCUAUGGCCUGGGAAAGCAGUAGAAGAUGGCCCAAGUCCUUGGGCCCCUGCACCCGCGUGGGAGACCGGAGGAGGCUCCUGGCUCCUGGCUUCGGAUCGGCGCAGCUCUGGCCAUUGCGGCCAUUUGGGGAGUGAACCAUCAUAUGGAAGACCUCUCUCUCUCUCUCUCUCUCUGCCUCUCCUCUCUCUGUGUAACUCUGACUUUCAGAUAAUAAAAAUAAAUCUUUUUAAAAAAGAAAAGAAUACUAUGCUGCUUUAUCCACAGGACUUUGGCAUCCUCAGGGGAUCCUGGAACCAAUUCCUUGUGGGUACUAGGGGACAACUCUAUCAGGGACCUUGUGGAAAACCACAUCCUCUUAUGACCGGCAUGCAAGUGGACCUACCACAAAUCGCACACCCAGGAGGGAACGUAAGUAGUUCUUGAGCCAUUAUCAAAGUUCAUCCAAACGAUCACAGUAAGCUGAUAGGGCUCCCUGUCUCCAUUUCUGAGGGGUGGUGUUGCAAAUACUACAAACGUUGCGAGUUAAAAGAACCCCAACUUGUAUCUUACACUUCUGGAGAGCCGAAGUCUGUGCUGCGUCUCCCGGGGCGGAAAUCAAGAUGGAGGCAGGACUGGACUCCCUCCUGGAGGCUCUCAGGAAUCAUCACCUCCACCCCCACUCCCCCGCUCACAGCCCCGUUCCAUCUUCAAAGCCAGCAAUGACCGCUGGACUCUUUCUUAGACUGCGUCUCCCUUUGCCUCCCUCUUUCCCGUUUAAGAACCCUGGUCAUCACAUGGCGUCCACACAAACAAUCCAAGACAAAUCUCCGUAUUUUCAGGUCAGCUGAUUAAUCACUCAACUCCUUCCACUGCCUCAGGUCCUCCUUGCCAAGUGACCUCACAUAGCCCAGGUUCCAGUCAUCAGGACUUACCCGUGCAUAUCCAGUGGAGGUGUUUAAUGGACACACGGUUAUUCUGCCUACCACACCCCAUUUUUGCAUCCCUACAACACACAACACAGAAGCCAGGGUGAUCUCGAAACUGAAUUAGAAACACAGCAUUUCUCCCCUAAACCCUACCCACACACACCCAGCGACCUUCUAUGCACCUAAGACCCAGACUUUUCAGCACGGCCCACAAAGUCCUGCGUGGUCAGCCCCAGGGCUGCCCCUCAGAUCUCAACUCCUACCACUCCCGCACCCCACUAGGCUGCAGCCACACGCUGGCCCUCUAGUUCUCCCAGACAUACCCAGAUCAUUCCUGGCCCAGGGCCAGUGUCCACGCCAUCUCCUCUGCCCGCACAGCUCCCUAGGCCUCCCCAGCCCUGGCUUUGCUUCAGACCCCUGAUUUCAGCUUCUCAGAGAAGGCUGACCUGACCCCCUAACUGUGGCAGCCACCUCCUCCCUAGCCACCUGCUAUCGCAUCACCCUGUGUUAGUUCCUCCAUGGGACUUACGACUAUUUCCAUUAUUUUCUUGUGUGUUUAACCACUUAUUUAUAUAUUCUCUUUAUCGUUCGUCUCCUGUCUCCUGUUGCUAGGGUGCUGGCAUCCCGAGGUGCAGAUGUCUCCCCAGCACCUCGAAGAGGGCACAGCACACAGCAGUCUCCGUACAUAUUUGCUGAAUGACUGAAAACCUCUCCCACGUGUCCCUUCCACAGUUCAUGCCCAUUCCUUUGCCUCAGCUUAAAGGCCCCCUUUUGGCUAAUGUCAAGUCCUCGUUCAGGGACGCCUUCUCUGACAUGCAAACUCCUCUCGAACACGAGUCGCCCUCUGGCAUGUUCACACAGUCCUGCAGUAUUUCUUGGAAGUCUUAGCAUCAUCUUACAGUUAUGCCUAUGUGGUUUCCAAUUCAUGUCUGUCUGUCCCAGCACAUCGCGAGUCCCUAGGAAGGCAGUGGCCACAUUUGUCUUAUUCACCUCUGUAUUCCUGGAGUUUUGGUUGGUCCCUGGUACAUGGAAAGUUUUCCAUGAUUAAUGAGUAUAUGGAUGGGUGGAUGGAUGGAAGGAUGGAUGGACUGACGGAUGGAUGGAUGAACGCAUGGAAGAAUAGAUGGACAGACAGAUGGACAGAUGUAUAAGGGUAUACAGGUGGGGAUAAAUGGAGGGGAGAACUGAGCCAAAGUUUGCUCCAUCAUCUUGGUUUUUUUCCCCCUUGCUAUUCAAUAGAUUGAAACUUGAAUUUUAAAGUAAAAUGAAACAAACCAAAGUAUUGACUGAAAAUCCUGUCCUAAAACAUUCUCACUUAAUCCUUUAUCACACAUCAAGAGGGUUUAGACAAAGGAAGAGAUAAAAAUCCACCUGCAAUUUGUUUCAAAAAGAAAUGGACUCAAAGGAACAUCAGUGAGCAUGGAGAGCCUGUCCCCAAGACCUCCUUUGAGGCUGGGAUGCCCCCUAGUGGGAGCGACGGAGAAGAGCACUCAGGGUAUUCCUUUGAUGAACUGCACCUUUCUUUUGCUUUAUGCGUUUGCAUAAGGAGGUCCAGAAACACACCAGAGGGAGACUGCACACUUUGCCAAAAAAAGAAAA